CAGUCGCCGCGGUAAUACGUAGGUGGCAAGCGUUGUCCGGAAUUAUUGGGCGUAAAGGGCUCGCAGGCGGUUUCUUAAGUCUGAUGUGAAAGCCCCCGGCUCAACCGGGGAGGGUCAUUGGAAACUGGGAAACUUGAGUGCAGAAGAGGAGAGUGGAAUUCCACGUGUAGCGGUGAAAUGCGUAGAGAUGUGGAGGAACACCAGUGGCGAAGGCGACUCUCUGGUCUGUAACUGACGCUGAGGAGCGAAAGCAUGGGGAGCGAACAGGAUUAGAUACCCGCGUAGUCCCUGUCUCUUAUAC
rnacentral:rRNA from 1 species